rnacentral:rRNA from 1 species
UCUNGGUCAUUUAGAGGAAGUAAAAGUCGUAACAAGGUUUCCCGUAGGUGAACCUGCGNAAGGAUCAUUA